GCAGUCGAGCGGUAGGCCCCUUCGGGGGUACACGAGCGGCGAACGGGGAGUAACGCGNGGGUAACCUACCUGGAAGUGGGGGAUAGCUCCGGCCAAACCGGGGGUAAUACCGCAUGAUGCCCAGACAACGCGAGUUGACUGGGGCAAAGGCGGGGCUCCUUCGGGACCUGCCGCUACCAGAUGGGCCCGCGUCCGAUAAGCUUGUUGGUGGGGUAAUGGCCUACCAAGGCUGCGAUCGGUAGCCGGCCUGAGAGGGUGAUCGGCCACAUUGGGACUGAGACACGGCCCAGACUCCUACGGGAGGCAGCAGUGGGGAAUAUUGGGCAAUGGGCGAAAGCCUGACCCAGCGACGCCGCGUGGGGGAUGAAGGCCUUCGGGUUGUAAACCCCUGUCAGGUGGGAAGAAGGUCUUGUUGGAGAAUACCCUUCAAGGCUUGACGGNACCACCAAAGGAAGCCCCGGCUAACUCCGUGCCAGCAGCCGCGGUAAUACGGAGGGGGCGAGCGUUAUUCGGAUUUACUGGGCGUAAAGCGCACGUANGCGGCAUGGUAAGUCAAAGGUGAAAGCCCUCGGCUCAACCGAGGAAUUGCCUUUGAAACUGCCUUGCUUGA
rnacentral:rRNA from 1 species